UUGAACCAUGGAAAAUUAUGAUUGGUGCACAGUGAUGUUAAGAAUCUAUAUCUUCAAUACUUCAGAUUUAUACUUCAUUUAUUCAUGACAGGUGAAAAUAUCAGCCAAUUAUCCUUCUGCAUGCCAUACAAGGAACCAAAGGCAAUAUCUUCGAAAUUGUUUUUACACUCGAACUAGAUGACCUUGGGCAACAUGUCAAACCCGCCAGGUUUCAAAAGGACGAACAUCACCAGGUUUUGACCUUUGACCUCUAGUUGAAUCAGGAUGUUAGAAAGAAUGUCAAGAGAGAAAAGGGUCCGCACAGUGAUCUUGGUAACUUACGACAGUGACAUUGGUAGCAGGCUUUUUGAGUCAGGUGCUAUCUACUCUGAGAUUUCUUGCCAAGGGUGACUUUCUGUCAGAGACCAGUGAUCUUCGUGGAAUUUCUAAAUCAUCAAGCAGCAGGAUUGUCUAAAGGCAAGCUAAAACACGUGACAGAAUAGUUUGUUUCUGACUGACAUCUAGCCCAAUACCCUGACAAUGAUGAUCUUGCUUUGUCUCCUUUAAAAAAUGAUAAGUUUCCAAUGCUAUGUAAAUGUUACCAUGGUUACAAGGUGAACAGUAUCAAGUUUGAACUUUGAGCAAAAUAUUACAAGGAAGAAUGAAGAUAAAUGGAAAAACUAACAACAAAGUUUAAUGAAGUUGCAAAAGUAUGGAAAUUAGCUGUUGGCGAAAAUACAGAACAUCUAACAAAGGAAGCAAAUUAAAAAAUUAUGUAAUGACAAAUUAUAUGCUUAAAAAAAAGAUAUUGUCCUACAUGUUUUUAUAUCGACAUUUAAUUGAGUGAUAUAUCACAUUACCUGGUUUUAAAAUGGUGAAAAUCAUUAUAUUACUCUUGUCUUAAACUUGCACAGCAUCUUAUUUAGUAUCUGUUCCCAGACUAAUUGUUUGGUACCUUGAAGCUUUUAGUUGCAACUAUCAAAGAACUGGUUUUUAUACACAAACAUAAUUACAAAUGUAUAAAUCGUAUGGGAACUUUCCAGCUUUUUAGGAAUAGUAGGACUCUAAAUGUCCAUACCAGCAUUAUUCAAGUACUGGCAGGCAUCUGGGUAGAACCAACCUAAUUUAUGGCUUACUAUAUGAAAGAAUUUUACAACCCAAGCAAGUUUUUGAACCGACAGCUUUGAGGGGCAAGUGAUUUGAACAAAAGUUUUAAUCUCAACCAAUUUAAAUUUGGUAGGAAGAUCAUUAGAUAAUUUAAGUUUUAAAUGAAAGAAUCUUCAUGGAUGGCUAUUUAUGAGGUUGAUAUUUUAUACAGAAUGGAAUUGUGCAAUGGCUGUUCUGUAUUAUUAGAUGUAAGCCACAUGUGACCAAAGAAGAAGGUCAGAAAUGCUUAUUAAACUCCCAAAACGACGUAUUAUGUUAUGAUGCCGGUGUCCGUCUGUCUGUUAGCAGUUUUGUAUCCACUCUCUAACUGUAGAACCCCAUGAAGGAUUUCAAAGAAACUAGACACAAAUGUUUAAUACAUGCAGAUGACAUGCAGAGCACAAUCGUGUUCUGGAUGGCUCGCUUCAAUGACAUAUAUUGAUUAAUUAAUAUAUGUUUUCCAGUUUCUGGCCCCAUAGAACACUUAAGGUUUUCAUGACUUUUGCAUUAAAAAAACUCUUCAGAAUUUAAGGGUUUUCAAAGAAGUUGUCCCCCUUUUUUGCACCAUACAAUACUAAAGUCUUUCAUGCAGUCUGUUCUACCAAACCACACAGCUUUUGUUGCCAACAGAGUGAAAAGAUUUAAUUGUGUGUGGCAAAACAUUAAUGCAAGUAGAGUUUUCCUCCAGUUUCUGGCCCCAUACAAUACUUGUGAGCAUGGUGAGCUUUUGUGACCGCUCAAUGUCCUGCGUGUGUUGUGCAUCCAUCAACAUUUUCUAAAAAAGUCUUCUUGAAAACCGCUAGGUAGAAUUACACCAAACUUCACAGGAAUGAUCCUUGGGUGGUCCCCUUUCAAAUUUGUUCAAAGAAUUGAAUUCCAUGCAAAACUCUGGUUGCCAUGGCAACCGAAAGGCAAAACUAUAAAAAAUCUUCAUGUCCAAAACCGUAAGGCAUAGAGUAGUCUAGGCGUAUAGCCUUGAUAUUUGGCAUGUGACAGCAUCUUAUGGUCCUCUAUCAAGAUUGUUCAAAUUG
rnacentral:lncRNA from 1 species